UACAGAGGUCCCAAGCGUUUGUUCGGAUUCAUUGGGCGUAAAGGGUGCGUAGGCGGCGCGGUAAGUCGGGUGUGAAAUCUCGGAGCUUAACUCCGAAACUGCAUUCGAUACUGCCGUGCUUUGAGGACUGGAGAGGAGACUGGAAUUUACGGUGUAGCGGUGAAAUGCGUAGAUAUCGUAAGGAAGACCAGUGGCGAAGGCGGGUCUCUGGACAGUUCCUGACGCUGAGGCACGAAGGCCAGGGGAGCAAACGG
rnacentral:rRNA from 1 species